AAAUGUUCAGUCUGCCUGGAAGAAACUGGGAAGCAGAUGCUGAGCCCUGGGAGGCCCUCCACCUGUAAAACCCACCGAAGGCAAGAAAAAAAAGGAGCCAAUCUAGAUGAAGAGAGUACGUAGGGCUGACUGAUCUGCCCAUGAAAUGAUGCUUGUGAGAAAGUGACAUACCAUCACGCUUAUUAAGCCAAUUAAGAAGACAGCAGGAUGUACAACAGCUGGAUCAGGAACACAGGCCCAGUCAGUCUCACUCCGGCUUUUCUGGAUUAUCGGCGGCAGCAUCAGGAUCGCAUAUCUCUGCUCUGUAUCAUCCGAGCUUCAAUUCCAUCCUGUGAAUAAACACAAGCAUGCCCUCUCCCCAUACCAAAACACUGUUGGAGCCCUUUCAUAAACACGUAAAUGGAUCUUUCCAUUAGACUUGAGCAAACCAUGAGGUGGUGCUUUCGUGCCAAAAUCUACUCAUGGAAGAUUGCUCACAGACAUCCACAUUUAAAAUUUUUAAAUUUUAAGAUAAAAACACAUAUAUGUGGUGACCGUGGGUAUAAGCCCAACUCCCCCAUUUUUAAUUGUAUUUUUAAUUGAGCCUUAAGACUCCCAUGUGCCCUUUCAAAAUUCCUUGCCCUUGGGACAUCAUCUCAAAUCCUAGAGAUGAGUUUGUUCCAGAGGCUGAUACUGGGAUUUUAGCAUCAUUAGUUUAAUGGCAACAAGACAGGAAUGAUCAAGAUGACCGAGUUCCCUAUGAUUGCUAACAGAGAAGUUCCCCUUUGAUCUAACAUUCCAGGGGGGAACAGGAACGACGUAUUCGCUUCUGUAAUUACCCACUGCUGACCUUAGAA